UACGAGAGUGGCAAGCGUUAUUCGGAAUUACUGGGCGUAAAGCGUCUGUAGGGGGAUGUUCACGUCGGGUGUAAAAGCCAGAGGCUUAACCUCUGUGACAGCAUCCGAUACGGAGCAUCUUGAGGACUGUAGAGGCAUAGGGAAUUCCAGGAGUAGGGGUAAAAUCCGUAGAUACCUGGAGGAACACCAAUUGCGAAGGCACUAUGCUGGGCAGAUCCUGACCCUGAGAGACGAAAGCGUGGGGAGCAAACGGG
rnacentral:rRNA from 1 species